GUUCGAAGAAAAUUUCAUCCUAAAAAACCUUAAAAUACUGGUUUUGUUUGUCAUAUGAUUUAUUUAAAAACUUCUUAAUUAUCUGUUGCUCCUGUGUGGGACCUCUGCUAUCCUUCGCGGGCAACUGUUGCAUGGGAUGCUCGUCAGCGACGCCAAUGACUAGUACGGGGCAUAUAAGUGCGGAACCAGAUUUUGAGUAUUUGUAACGAACUCACGUUUGGAGCUGAGAGUGGUGGGCUGGAUUACUUGCAAUGAUUUUCUAGUUCAUUGUUUUCUCAAUCAGGUUGCUUGGCUUCUUUUUCUUGAAAAGUGGUGGAAACACCAAAGUGCGAGUUUAACUAUUGUAAGCACCUAUACAACCACACCAAGACAUCUCUUUGGUCUUUUGUGUGUAGGUGCUAAAGAAGAAGCUAUCUAGAGGAGGUCUUUGAGUUCAUUCAGUGUCUUUGGUGAUCGCUUACCUCUUUCUUUGUCAUUUAAAUAGUUUCACUUCAUUUCAAAGCAUUCCAAUAUGUCAUUGAAAUUCAUUAAAUAUAUCGUUUGGUUGUAAUUUAUCAUUUUCCACUCUUGAGAAGUUGUACGUAAAUCAUUAUGUUGUUUCCUGCAGCAAUCCUUGUUCUCUUUUUGUAUGGGACAUCAAUGUGUUGUACUGUUGUUUGUGCCCCGCACAAAUAUCCUAGAUAGAGACUCAAUUGGAUUGUUGAGAGAUGUCUAUGGUCUAUAAUUCUUGUUCCCGAGGUCUCAAUAAUUUUAUAAAACCUUAAACACACUGAAAACACAUAUAUUGUUAAUAAUUGGAUAAACUUGAAGGUAGUAGUUACCUUUGGACUUA